rnacentral:ncRNA from 1 species
UUUGCCCGUUACUCCACUUUACUAAUCGGCAGGGGAGAAACAAAGGAGGAAUAUCCGUCCGGCUGGCGGUGCGGCAGCGUGGAGACCUGUCGUAAUGGGACGAAAUGCCUUUGUCCCGAGGUCGCUCCUUGCGGAGGCAGAGCGAUCGCAGCCAAAUAAACACCAUGGC